rnacentral:precursor_RNA from 14 species
UCUCGUGCCCAGACGCUCCGUAUUAGUCUAUGUAAACAUCCUACACUCAGCUCGUAUGUAUAACCUGACUGGGUGGGGGGUGUUUGCCUCGACUGAUCUGGAAACUCCUCCAAUGGAAUG